GCUUUAUAGUUGUAAUUUAUUAUUAAUUUAGGAAAAUUUUAUUAAUAGAGGGUCGACUAUUUUGUUGGGGUGACAAGAAGAUUUAAUAAACUCUUAUUAGUUUAAAACCAUUGAUUUAUGAAUUGUUGAUCCAUUUUUAGUGAUUAUAAGACUAAGU
rnacentral:rRNA from 1 species